CAGUCGCCGCGGGAAUACGAAGGGUGCAAGCGUUACUCGGAAUUACUGGGCGUAAAGCAUGCGUAGGUGGUGGUUUAAGUCCGUUGUGAAAGCCCUGGGCUCAACCUGGGAAUUGCAGUGGAUACUGGGUCACUAGAGUGUGGUAGAGGAUAGUGGAAUUUCCGGUGUAGCAGUGAAAUGCGUAGAGAUCGGAAGGAACAUCUGUGGCGAAGGCGACUAUCUGGGCCAACACUGACACUGAGGCACGAAAGCGUGGGGAGCAAACAGGAUUAGAUACCCCUGUAGUCCCUGUCUCUUAUAC
rnacentral:rRNA from 1 species